CCCUCCUAUUUCUGCCCCGUCUUCCUUAACUUUUGAGUGGAUUAACGGGUUCUAUUAACGGAGAAGAUAAAGCUUGGGAACGGGUGAACCACACUUUUGAUACAACCGUGAUUCUCCUGUUCGCAGGAUCGUGAAGGCUCAUCGGACGAGUUUCGAGCAAUGAUUUCAUUCUUUCGAAACACUCGAUGUCCCGCUACAAUU
rnacentral:snoRNA from 1 species